rnacentral:tRNA from 1 species
GUUUUAAUAGUUUAAUUUUAAAACAUUGGUCUUGUAAACCAAAAUUGAAAUUUCGAAUUUCUUAAAACUUCGUUAUAAUAUAACGAUAUUUUAUAUUUAAUUUUACCUAUUAUUAUUAUAUUUUCACUCUCUUUUAUACGAGUUGCUCACCCUCUUUCUGCCGGGUUAGUUUUACUUAUUCAAACAACACUAGUAGCAAUCGCUUCAGGGACACUAAAUAAAACUUUUUGAUUUUCUUAUAUUUUAUUUUUAAUUUUCUUAGGAGGUAUAUUAGUUUUAUUCAUUUAUGUUGCCUCCUUAGCUUCAAAUGAACAAUUUUCUAUUGACUUAGUUUUCUUUUUAAUUUCUCUUAUCAUUAUUUGUUUCGUCUCACUAUUAUUAAUUACAUUAGACCCUAUUAUCCUGUCAAACAAAAUAACUAUACUUUAUUCUUCCUUAAUAAAUGAAUAUAAAUUUAAUUCAAACUCAUUAUUUAAUAGUCCUAUUUAUAACGCACCAACAGCGUUUUUCACUUUUUUCAUUAUUAGUUAUUUAUUACUCGCUUUAUUAGUAGUAGUAAAAAUUAUAAAAUCUUCUUCUAGACCACUUCGUCUUAUAACUUAUGAAAAUACCCGUACGAAAAACACACCCUCUAAUUAAAAUUAUCAAUGGAGCAUUAGUUGAUAUACCAUUACCUAGAAAUAUUUCAACAUUUUGAAACUUUGGAUCAUUACUUGGCUUAUGUUUAGUUAUCCAAAUUGUAACAGGUUUAUUUUUAUCAAUACACUAUACAGCUCAUGUUGAUUUAGCUUUCUCUUCAGUUGCCCACAUUCAUCGAGAUGUCAAUUAUGGUUGAUUAAUUCGAUCUAUACAUGCUAAUGGGGCUUCAUUCUUCUUUGUUUGUUUAUAUCUUCAUAUUGGACGAGGAAUUUAUUAUGGAUCCUACGUAAACAUUCCAGCAUGAAUAAUUGGAGUUAUUAUUUUAUUUUUAGUAAUAGCAACCGCAUUUUUAGGUUAUGUUUUACCAUGAGGACAAAUAUCUUUUUGAGGUGCUACAGUAAUUACUAAUCUCUUUUCAGCUAUUCCCUAC